rfam:Capsicum annuum cultivar Zunla-1 chromosome 9, whole genome shotgun sequence
GGGCUAAUAUGGUGUGAGCAAUCUCUCAUGUAUCCCUUGUAUCUCUCCCAAGCUUGGGGAAGGAAUUCAGCAUCUUUUUGAACAAAUCCAGAAUUCUUGCCUCUGAGCUC